rnacentral:rRNA from 1 species
AAAUUGAAGAGUUUGAUCAUGGCUCAGAUUGAACGCUGGCGGCAGGCCUAACACAUGCAAGUCGAACGGUAACAGGAAACAGCUUGCUGUUUCGCUGACGAGUGGCGGACGGGUGAGUAAUGUCUGGGAAACUGCCUGAUGGAGGGGGAUAACUACUGGAAACGGUAGCUAAUACCGCAUAACGUCGCAAGACCAAAGAGGGGGACCUUCGGGCCUCUUGCCAUCAGAUGUGCCCAGAUGGGAUUAGCUAGUAGGUGGGGUAACGGCUCACCUAGGCGACGAUCCCUAGCUGGUCUGAGAGGAUGACCAGCCACACUGGAACUGAGACACGGUCCAGACUCCUACGGGAGGCAGCAGUGGGGAAUAUUGCACAAUGGGCGCAAGCCUGAUGCAGCCAUGCCGCGUGUAUGAAGAAGGCCUUCGGGUUGUAAAGUACUUUCAGCGGGGA